CACAGGCAAACUAGUCGUGACAUGGGAGAUGUAUGAUUAAGUUAUCCCACAGCUUUUUUAAAAAGAAAGAUUAAUAGGCACCACUGCAGUGGACCCUGAAUCCGAUUGAACCAUGCUUCUGAAGUGGCGCAGAGAAAAACAGCACUGGAUACUGCAGAUCAACCCAUGUUGAGUUGUUCUUGUGGAAGUGAAGUCGCUCACACAGAUUGCCACACACUGUUCAGCCAGCUUGCUUCACUGCUAGAGGUCUUUAUAUCUGCUGAGCCAGUGCUUUUCCAGAGCUGAAAGCAGAAUUCAAAUAGGAGAUUCCAUGUGGCACUUGGAAUAGCAUUAUAUUAUCCAACAAUACCAUCCUGAGACCAAGAUGCUUCUGGAAUGUUUACUCACAAAUUCAGUGAUGGAAAUAUUAAGAAACUAAGACCCUGUGGGCAGCAGUAUACUUCCCUCUUCCUGUCAAGCUUCGAGAAAAAGCCAAAUUUGAGGAAGUAGCCUGAAGUAAAAUAAUUGCAGAGAAAUGCUCUCCUUUCCAUCCUGACUCUUCAGAAAGGAACAGGCAAGUCCUUUCAUUCUGAAGGCCAAAGCUGAACUCUGGUGAAUGUCAGUUCAAAUUAAACCCUGGGGCUGCAAGCCACAAUGGAUGGACCCACAAUG